rnacentral:rRNA from 1 species
AGAGUUUGAUCCUGGCUCAGGAUGAACGCUAGCGGCAGGCUAAUACAUGCAAGUCGAACGGCAGCAGCACUUCGGUGGCUGGCGAGUGGCGCACGGGUGCGUAACGCGUAUGCAACCUACCUUUUACUGGGGGAUAGCCCGGAGAAAUCCGGAUUAAUACCGCAUAAUACCAAGACCUCGCAUGGGGAUUUGGUGAAAAGAUACUGGUAAAAGAUGGGCAUGCGUCCCAUUAGCUAGUUGGCAGUGUAACGGACUACCAAGGCAAUGAUGGGUAGGGGGUCUGAGAGGAUGAUCCCCCACACUGGUACUGAGAUACGGACCAGACUCCUACGGGAGGCAGCAGUAGGGAAUAUUGGUCAAUGGGCGAGAGCCUGAACCAGCCAUGCCGCGUGCAGGAAGACGGCCUUCUGGGUUGUAAACUGCUUUUUUCAGGGAAGAAAGCCUUUAUGCGUAAAGAAUUGACGGUACCUGAAGAAUAAGCACCGGCUAACUCCGUGCCAGCAGCCGCGGUAAUACGGAGGGUGCAAGCGUUGUCCGGAUUUAUUGGGUUUAAAGGGUGCGUAGGCGGCUGGUUAAGUCAGUGGUGAAAUGCGGCAGCUCAACUGUCGAAGUGCCAUUGAUACUGGCCAGCUUGAGUAUAGAUGAGGUAGGCGGAAUUUAUGGUGUAGCGGUGAAAUGCAUAGAUACCAUAAAGAACACCGAUAGCGUAGGCAGCUUACUAAACUAUAACUGACGCUGAGGCACGAAAGCAUGGGUAGCGAACAGGAUUAGAUACCCUAGUAGUCC